ACACACUGCUAUAUCAAUUUGAAAACACCUGUUCUCGUCCGGUCACCGAAGUUAAUCAAAAUCGAACUUGUAUUUAUAUGGACGAACCCUUGAGGAAUCUAGGUGUUGUAAACA
rnacentral:rRNA from 1 species